CUAUAGCUAAUUAAGGCAACCAUACUCUUUUCCCUGUAGGGCCCAGUAUGCAAUGCCCGGGCCAGUGCAAACAGUAGUUUCUUUGCUUGCCAGUUAUGCAGACUACUGCUUGAACUGCCCAAAGGGACCUGGGAAAUUGUC